CUUGGAGAUCUUGAGUCCAAUUAUUGGUUUGCAAGAGUAUUCAACCCAUAUACUGGAUUACAAGGAAGAAUAUUUCAUAGUUAUGUUGCACAUGAGUAUAUAGCUACAGGUAAAUUUGCAAUGAUUUGCAAAGAGGGCGCUUGAGUCAAAGGAAUGAUGCAUACAGCUUGGGAAAGACCUUUCCUGAGCGAUAGCAGAAGAGUUUUGGCUUGAGCGUAGCAG